AACAUAUUCACCUUAACACUUUCCCCUUGUCUAUUUGCAUCUCUCAUGCUAAGGGAGAUUCUAUCAUAUUUCCUUAUUUUUGCUUUGCAAAUUUGUCGCAUGUAUAUGCUGUUAGCACCCAAAGUCUCUGUGGAAUAAGCUGAGAUAUAAGCACAUACAUAGAUACUUAAGCGAUAAAUAUGUGUAAUGUAUAGGUUGAUACUUAUCUGUCUACAUAUGUAUGAAUUUAAUUUAUACACCAAAUGGAGAAGAUGGCUGAACCUGAGGGCUUCACAUCAGUAUCAAAAUUUUCUACUGGAAAAGUAAAACCAUAAAGCUGUUACAUAAAUUAUUUAUAUCAUUCAAAGAGAUUGAAAAGAAAUGCCUCCCUCACUUUGGUGGUGUAUUAAUACAACUAUAGUUUUUUUUGAUUGGUUUGGUUUUGGUUUUGAUUUUUAGGGCCACACCUGUGGCAUAUGGAAGUUCCCAGGCUAGGGGUUGAGUCGGAGCUGUAGCCACCCGCCUACGCCACAGACACAGCAAUGUGGGAUCCGAGCCAUGUCUGCGACCUACACCACAGCUCACGGCAAUGCCUGAUCCUUAACCCACUGAGCAAGGCCAGGGAUCGAACCCGCAACCUCAUGGUUCUUAGUCGGAUUCGUUAACCACUGAGCCACGACGGGAACUCCAAAAAUUAUUUUUAAAAUAAAUAAACAAGUGGGACUACAUCAAACUAAAAUCCUUCUGUAUAGUAAAGGAAACAAUCAGCAAAAUAAAAAGAUAGCCUAUGAAAUAGGAGAAAACCUUUACAUACUAUGUUUCUGAUAAAGGGUUAGUAUUUAAAAUAUUUAAGAAACAAAUACAGCUCAAUAGUAAAAAAACAAAAUAACUUGCUAUUAAAAAUGGGAAAAAGACUGAAUAUAUAUGUUUCCAAAGAAGAAUACAAAUGGCCAACAGGUAUAUGAAAAUGUGUUCAAUAUUGCCAAUCAUCAGGAAAAUAUAAAUCUAAACCACAAUGAGAUAUGACCUUACACCUGUUAAGACAGCUGUUAUCAUUAAGACAAGACAUAAAUAUUGGUGGUGAUGUGGAGAAAAGGAGAAGCUUGUAUACUAUUGGUGAAAGUGUAAACUGCUACAUUCAUUAUGAAAAAUUGGCUAGAGACGUCUCAGAAAGUUAAGAAUCGAACUAUCAUAAGAUCCUACCACUUGAAUUCUGCAUACAUAUCUGAAGUAAAUGAAACCAUUACGUCAAAGAGAUAGCUGCACUUCUAUGUUUGUUGUGUUCUUAUUCAUAAUAGCCAAGACAUGGACACAAACUAAAUGUGUCAAAAGAUGAAUGGACAAAGAAAAUAUGGUAUAUGCAUACAAUGGAAUAUUAUUCAGCCAUAAAAGGAAGAAAAUCCUACCAUUUGUGACAAUAUGGAUGAACUUGGAGGUAUUAUGCUAAAUAAAAUGAGCUAGACACAAAAGGAUAAGUACUCUAUUAUCUUAUAUGUGGGAUCUAGAAAAGUUGAGCUCAUUGAACUAAAGAAUAGAAAGGUGGUUACCAAGGCCACGGGUGGGAAAAAUAGGGAAAUGUUGCUCAAAGUAUAUGAAUUUCAAGUUAUCAGAUGAAUAAGUUCUGAGGACCUGAUGUACAGCAUAGAAAUUGUAAAUAGUAAUACUAUAUUCUAGACCUGAAAUUUGCUGAGAGUAAAUCUUAAGUGUUCACAUCACACACACAAAAAAAAAAGUUUAAAAAUUGUGGCAUGUAAGGUUAUGGAUAAAUUCAUUAGCUUGAUUGUGUUAAUCAUUUCACAAUGUAUAUGCAUAUUAAAUCAUUGUGCUGUAUGCCUUAAAAUAAAGCACAUUGUACAAUCUAAAUAUAUAUAAUUUCUAUUUUCCAGUCCACAAAUAACAAAUGCUGGAGAGGGUGUGGAGAAAAGGGAAUCUUCCUGCGUUGUUGGUAGGAAUGUAAAUUGGUACAAGCACUAUGGAAAAUAGUAUGGAGGUACCUCAGAAAACUAUAUAUAGAACUACCAUAUGACCCAGCAAUCCCACUCCUGGGCAUAUAUCCAGACAAAACUUUCCUUGGAAAAGACACAUGCACCCAUAUGUUCACUGCAACACUAUUCACAAUAGCCAAGACAUUGAAAAAACCUAAACGUCCAUUGGCAGAUGAAUGGAUCAAGAAGAUGUGGUAUAUAUACAUGAUGGAAUAAUACUCAGCCAUAAAAAAGAACAAAAUAAUGCCAUUUGCAGCAACAUGAUGGAACUAGAGACACAUACUAAGUGAAGCAAGUCAGAAAGAAAAAGACAAAUGCCAUAUGACGUCACUUAUAUCUGGAAUCUAAUAUAUGGCACAAAUGAACCUUUCCACAGAAAAGAAAAUCAUGGACUUGGAGAAUAGACUUGUGGUUGCCAAGGGGAAGGAGGAGGGAGUGGGUUGGACUGGGAAUUUGGGGUUAAUAGAUACAAAUUAUUGCUUUUGGAAUGGAUAAGCAAUGAGAUCUUGCUGUAUAACACUGGGAACUAUAUCUGGUCACUUAUGAUGGAGCAUGAUAAUGUGAGAAAAAAUAUAUAUGUAUGUUACUAGGUCACCUUGCUGUACAGUAGAAAAUAGAACGCUGUAAACCAGCUAUGAUGGAAAAAAAAUAAAAAUCCUAAAAAAAUUUUUAUUUGCCAAUCAUAAUAAAGCUGGAAUCAAAAAGAGAAGUUUGUCAUCUGAAAGGUGCUGCCAAAAAAAAAAAUAUAGCUAGAAAGGCAGAGAAAAUCAUGAAACAAGCAAAUCACUCUAUUUGCACAGGACUUUUUUUCCAUGGUAGAGUCAUUCUAAAGAGAUGCACUGGGGUUUUAGCAUGGAAAUCCUAUAAAAUUGGAUUGGGAUGAUCAUUGUACAACUAUAAAUGUAAUAAAUUCAUUGAGUAAUUAAAAAAUAAAUAAAAUUUAAAAAAAGAGUUACUAUGUAUUGAAUGCCUAUGUCAUACUAAGCACUUUA
rnacentral:lncRNA from 1 species